GGCCGCAUGGCGCAAUGGUAGCGCGUCAGAUUCCAGCAAAUGGAAAUACCUGAAGGUAAGAUGUCUCCAAUCAUGAGUGUCGGUUGAAAUAUUAACAGUAUUAGGCUCUCUGUUCGAAUCAGUGUGCGGUCA